rnacentral:rRNA from 1 species
GAUGAACGCUGGCGGCGUGCCUAAUACAUGCAAGUCGAGCGAACAGACGAGGAGCUUGCUCCUCUGACGUUAGCGGCGGACGGGUGAGUAACACGUGGAUAACCUACCUAUAAGACUGGGAUAACUUCGGGAAACCGGAGCUAAUACCGGAUAAUAUAUUGAACCGCAUGGUUCAAUAGUGAAAGACGGUUUUGCUGUCACUAUUAGAUGGAUCCGCGCCGCAUUAGCUAGUUGGUAAGGUAACGGCUUACCAAGGCAACGAUGCGUAGCCGACCUGAGAGGAUGAUCGGCCACACUGGAACUGAGACACGGUCCAGACUCCUACGGGAGGCAGCAGUAGGGAAUCUUCCGCAAUGGGCGAAAGCCUGACGGAGCAACGCCGCGUGAGUGAUGAAGGUCUUCGGAUCGUAAAACUCUGUUAUUAGGGAAGAACAAAUGUGUAAGUAACUAUGCACGUCUUGACGGUACCUAAUCAGAAAGCCACGGCUAACUACGUG